UGCUCCGCUGACGAGUGGCGAACGGGUGAGUAAUAUAUCGGAACGUACCUUUGAGUGGGGGAUAACUAGUCGAAAGAUUAGCUAAUACCGCAUACGAUCUACGGAUGAAAGUGGGGGAUCGCAAGACCUCAUGCUCAUAGAGCGGCCGAUAUCUGAUUAGCUAGUUGGUGAGGUAAAGGCUCACCAAGGCUUCGAUCAGUAGCUGGUCUGAGAGGACGACCAGCCACACUGGGACUGAGACACGGCCCAGACUCCUACGGGAGGCAGCAGUGGGGAAUUUUGGACAAUGGGGGCAACCCUGAUCCAGCAAUGCCGCGUGAGUGAAGAAGGCCUUCGGGUUGUAAAGCUCUUUUGUCAGGGAAGAAACGGGGAUUCCUAAUACGAGUCCCUAAUGACGGUACCUGAAGAAUAAGCACCGGCUAACUACGUGCCAGCAGCCGCGGUAAUACGUAGGGUGCAAGCGUUAAUCGGAAUUACUGGGCGUAAAGCGUGCGCAGGCGGUUAUGU
rnacentral:rRNA from 1 species